CAAGUCGAACGAGAAAGCGGGAGCAAUCUCGCAAGUACAGUGGCGUACGGGUGAGUAACACGUGGGUAAUCUACCUCCGAGUGGGGAAUAACCCUGGGAAACCGGGGCUAAUACCGCAUAAACCCGGGAGGGGAAAGCAGCAAUGCGCUGGGAGAGGAGCCCGCGGCCGAUUAGCUGGUUGGUAGGGUAAAAGCCUACCAAGGCAAAGAUCGGUAGCCGGCCUGAGAGGGCACACGGCCACACUGGCACUGAAACACGGGCCAGACUCCUACGGGAGGCAGCAGUGGGGAAUCUUGCACAAUGGGGGAAACCCUGAUGCAGCGACGCCGCGUGAGCGAUGAAGCCCUUCGGGGUGUAAAGCUCUUUCGGCAGGGACGAUGAUGACGGUACCUGCAGAAGCAGCUGCGGCUAACUACGUGCCAGCAGCCGCGGUAAUACGUAGGCAGCGAGCGUUGUUCGGAGUUACUGGGCGUAAAGGGUGUGUAGGCGGCCUCUUAAGUUUGGUGUGAAAUCUCCCGGCUCAACUGGAGGGUGCGCCGGAUACUGAGGGGCUCGAGUGCGGGAAGGGAAAGUGGAAUUCCUGGUGUAGCGGUGAAAUGCGUAGAUAUCAGGAGGAACACCGGUGGUGCAAACGGCUUUCUGGACCGUAACUGACGCUGAGACACGAAAGCGUGGGGAGCAAACAGGAUUAGAUACCCUGGUAGUCCACGCCCUAAACGAUGCACGUUUGGUGUAGGUCAUUCAGUUGAUCUGUGCCGGAGCUAACGCGUUAAACGUGCCGCCUGGGGAGUACAGUCGCAAGGCUGAAACUCAAAGGAAUUGACGGGGGCCCGCACAAGCGGUGGAGCAUGUGGUUCAAUUCGACGCAACGCGAAGAACCUUACCUGGGCUCGA
rnacentral:rRNA from 1 species